UUAGCAAAAUUUCUUUCUAUUUUAGCUUAUAUUAAGUUUUAUUAAAGCUUCUUAAAAGCAUAAUGGCUACCAUACCUUUUGCAUAAUGGUCUAACUAGAAGCUUGGCUAAUGCCCACUCCCGAACCUAGAAGAUCUAUCUUCAUUCUAUUUAAAAUGUUGAAUUAUUUUAAAUUAAGAACAGCUAGAGGUGAUAUUCCUCUCAAUUCUAGAGAUAUCUGGAAGCCUAGAAAUAUAUUUAGUAUACAUUACAGUAGCGCACUUUUCAGGGUUCCCUAUUAGAAAGAAUUAGUUUGGUCAGUAUUUUAAUACGUUAUUUUAUAGUUAAUAACUUUAAUCUUUCGUGUUUCUUCACAACCUAAAUAGGCAACUUUUCCCAAUAAAAAAAAUAGCUAACAAUGUUAAAAUUAGUACUUCUCUUAAGCCAGAAAAAGGAACUCGGCAAAUUAACACACCUUUCGACUGUUUAACAAAAACAUAGCCCUUUGAUUUAGCUGAUACUGGGUAACCCCUGCUCACUGAAAACUUUAAAGGGCCGCAGUACACUGACUGUGCUAAGGUAGCAUAAUAACUUGACUUUUAAUUGGAGUCUGGAAUGAAAGGGGUUACGGAGGGUAACUGUCUCCUUCUCGUUAAUAGGAACUUUCUUACAAGGUGAAAAUACCUUUAAUAAAGAAAAAAGACGAGAAGACCCUAGGAGUUUUAAGAAAAGAGGGCCUACAACCUUUCUGCCUUUUAACUGGGGCGGUUAUUGAUCAUAUUUAACAUCAGUACUUAAUAUAGCAGAGUAUAUCUAUAAGAAUUAAACUACCCUAGGGAUAACAGCGUAAUUUUUUUUUAAGCUUACGACCUCGAUGUUGGACUAGGGAAAGCAAAAACCAGAAGUUUAUGUUAACUAUUCUGUUCGAAUAUUAUCCCCUACAUGAUCUGAGUUCAGACCGGUGCAAGCCAGGUCAGAUUCUAUCUUUUGUCUUGACCCGCUUAGUACGAAAGGAAUAGCUGGUCUUU
rnacentral:rRNA from 1 species